UUGAACAUAUCUUAUUAUUUCCCUAGGACUGACAGUAGCUCUACUAAUGCUUCUACAGAAGUCAAUUUUACGUAAAUAUACCUUGGAUUUUAACCCAGGUUUGCUUUUAGAUACUUAGUGCUUUUCUGUUUGAGAACUGUAAGUCAAUCUUUUCCAGUGAUUGCCCAUGAUCCCUGUCAUAGUAUUUUUGACUGUUGAUCGACACCAGCUACACUCACAGACACUGCACAGGCAUUUGCUUUUGUAUUUACUGACUGCUUUGCAUGGGCCCCCUACAGCCCAGCCAGCUGCUGAGAAUAUAUAAACCAGCCUUUGCAGUGAGAACUGAACUGCAUGAGACAGCAGGGGGAGCAAGAUGAAGUCACAGACUCAGGUCCUCAUAUCCCUGCUGCUAUGGGUGUCUGGUGCCUGUGCAGACAUCGUGAUGACCCAGUCUCCAUCCUCCCUGGCUGUAUCAGCAGGAGAGAAGGUCUCCAUCAGCUGCAGGUCCAGUCAGAGCCUUUAUCACAGCAGCAGCAAAAAGAACUUAUUGUCCUGGUACCAGCAGAAACCAGGACAGUCUCCUAAGCUGCUAAUCUACUGGGCAUCCAGCCGGUACACUGGGGUCCCUGAUCGCUUCACAGGCAGUGGAUCUGGGACAGAUUUCAUUCUCAGCAUCAGCAGUGUACAGGAUGAAGACCUGGCAUCUUAUUACUGUAUGCAAGGUCUUAGUACUCCUCCCACAGUGCUUCAGCCUCCAACACAAACCUCCUUGAGAGUCUCACCAGCUGCCUGCACCACACACAGCCAUGGGCCUGCACACUUCCCCCUUCUGUGUAAUAGCAGGUGUGUCUGAAAAGUGGUGAAUAGUUUCCCGAGCCCAGUACAAAUUAUGGGUUCAAUGACUCUUUUGGCUUUUGGUAUGAAAAUACAAAAAGAACUCAAGAUGAUCAUUUAUUUCCUUCUUUAGAAAUUGGGGAACAUACAGGAGGCCAUCAGAUCACUGUUAGAAAUCUGAAAGCUGAUAUAGAUGUUUCAAAACAUCAAACUACUAUUGGAACACCAGAAGUGUGACAAGGAUGAUAAGGAUAACUAGUCUAUAGAGUUCUGUGUAGAACAGACUAAAGUAAAUGGGCUAGACUUGACAAAGAACAAGAAGCAAAAAAAGAGAGAGAUACAAAGGACCCCAGAAGAAGAAUGAGGCUGUUCAAGCUGAGCCCCAGGAGCAGAGAGGAAACAUCUUCUAAAAGACUGAGGACAGAUGUUUUGUACUCAAAUACAGCAAAUGCAAACUCCUGCCCUACAACCCUAGAAGACACACACCGUACCAGCCACACAUCUUUACUGAGUCCCAUAUUUCAGAUGUUUUAUAACAAAAGUUCAGAUUGAGAAAUGUACUAGAGGGAUUGAUUUUAGAGGGGGGAAAAGGGCUGAAAAUGAAAUCUGAAGCAUCAAUAUACCAAUUUGAAAACUUCACAGAAGCAUCAAGAAUGAGAGAGAAAGCAGACCAAGUCCAUAGUAAUGCUUGGCCAAAAGGAUGGGGAAUGUCUGAAUCCCCUGGGAAAGACAGGCAAGGGCAGUUGUUAGGAUUAGUGAGUGUCAGGAUCCAUCUAUGUGAAGACAAAAAUGCCUUGGCAGGAAUAUUGGAAGAUAGUGUCUUUAAGAUUUAGGACUGAAAAGUGAGUGGUGUGCUCAGCUAUGAUAGAGGAAAACCAAAGGAUAUAAAGAGACAGCAGUUAAUGAAGAAAGAUCUUGUGCUAGGUAUAAGAUUCUGUUAAGAGUUGCUGCAUUGUCUUUUUCUGUGGCCGGUGACUAGGAUCAGGAGAAAAGAAAAGAAGAGCUUCUCUAUCAGGAGACUUGGGAAGGGGCAUGCAUGCAGAGGGUGGAGGAAGAGAGGGAUUGGGACUGGAGGAGG